rnacentral:tRNA from 1 species
AGAGAUUUAAGUUAUAGAAGACUGUCUGUUUUCAAAACAGAAAGAAGUGAAUUUUGCUAGUCUUUG